UGGGGAAUUUUGGACAAUGGGCGAAAGCCUGAUCCAGCAAUGCCGCGUGUGUGAAGAAGGCCUUCGGGUUGUAAAGCACUUUUGUCCGGAAAGAAAUCCUUGGCUCUAAUACAGUCGGGGGAUGACGGUACCGGAAGAAUAAGCACCGGCUAACUACGUGCCAGCAGCCGCGGUAAUACGUAGGGUGCAAGCGUUAAUCGGAAUUACUGGGCGUAAAGCGUGCGCAGGCGGUUUGCUAAGACCGAUGUGAAAUCCCCGGGCUCAACCUGGGAACUGCAUUGGUGACUGGCAGGCUAGAGUAUGGCAGAGGGGGGUAGAAUUCCACGUGUAGCAGUGAAAUGCGUAGAGAUGUGGAGGAAUACCGAUGGCGAAGGCAGCCCCCUGGGCCAAUACUGACGCUCAUGCACGAAAGCGUGGGGAGCAAACAGGAUUAGAUACCCUGGUAGUCCACGCCCUAAAACGAUGUCAACUAGUUGUUGGGGGAUUCAUUUCCUUAGUAACGUAGCUAACGCGUGAAGUUGACCGCCUGGGGAGUACGGUCGCAAGAUUAAAACUCAAAU
rnacentral:rRNA from 1 species